AUGAUCUUGCUCCUUCAAUCGCACUCGGUUCCGUCCAGACGAGACUUCAUACGGCUCAAGUCUCAACAUCGACCUCUGAUUCAGUUUCGACGCGAUGAAGAUGAUGGAAAUCAAAACGAGAACGACAGGAAAGCAUUGAUGCAGAGCUUUUGUGUUAGUUGUAAUAAAGAUGCAGAUGCCUUGGUGAUGAAGGAUGAUGAAUAUUUUCUGAGAGGGUCAGCAGUGGUGUAG